UCCAGUUUCCAGCCGAGAUAUGAUCGUUGAUCUCAUCCAAGUAGGUCACAGCGUCGAGCAGUAGAGCACGCAUUCCAUCGAAGGAAGAACAGGCCGGGCGGCACGGCGGCGGCGGCGCGCGGCGCUGAUCUCAGGAGGCGAACCGGGGGAUCGAUCGUCCACAUCCACCCGUUGAGAUGGGUGACAAGAGGCCUUGGCCGCGGGUGUUAAGACAGCUUCCCGGCAUGAAGAGGCCCAGGGGGGAAGAUGAGACUCAAACCGUGACGAGCCAACACCGAGCGGAGAAAAUCACUGUCGACGUGGACGCCGAUCUGCUGCAGUGCUGUGUUUGUUCUGGUCCAUUGACUGCGCCCCUUUUCCAGUGCACGAAAGGCCACAUCUCAUGUUCAGACUGCUGCACGGACGCGGCUAUGGCCGACGAGUGCGAGUGCCUGAUGUGCCGUGAGCAGGGUUCAACUUUUCGGUCGAAUUUCGCCGAAAUUUCG